CCUACGGGAGGCAGCAGUAAGGAAUAUUGGACAAUGGCCGCAAGGCUGAUCCAGCCAUCCAGCGUGCAGGAAGAAGGCCCUAUGGGUUGUAAACUGCUUUUAUCAGGGAAGAAACCUCUGGAUUCACUCCGGAGCUGACGGUACCUGAAGAAUAAGCACCGGCUAACUCCGUGCCAGCAGCCGCGGUAAUACGGAGGGUGCGAGCGUUAUCCGGAAUUACUGGGUUUAAAGGGUGCGUAGGCGGCUUUGUAAGUCAGGAGUGAAAGUUUGCGGCUCAACCGUAAAAUUGCUUCUGAUACUGCAUAGCUAGAAUUAGGAUGAGGUCAGCGGAAUGUGGCAUGUAGCGGUGAAAUGCAUAGAUAUGCCAUAGAACACCAAUUGCGAAGGCAGCUGACUAGACCUGGAUUGACGCUGAGGCACGAAAGCGUGGGGAGCGAACAGGAUUAGAUACCCCUGGUAGUCCCACGCCCCUAAACGAUGGCUUACUCGACGUAUGGGUAACUAGAUGUUUGUGCGUCCCAGGGUAAACCCGUUAAAUUAAGCCACCCUGCGGGAGUACGACCCGCAGGGUUGAAACUCAAAGGAAUUGACGG
rnacentral:rRNA from 1 species